ACACUUGGAGAAGAAGAAAGGCAACCUGAAUGGCAGAUGCUUUGAGUUAUUUUAAAGACCCAUCUGGAAUGAAAGGUCCUGGAAAGACAUCCUCUGUGGGUCGGUGUCAUGCUUGUGUCUUUGCCACUGUCUUCACUCAUCCACGUGGUAGAGAUCAAAGCUUCCAGAAGCUUCAAACAUGGCUAUCCAGAAAUAAGGAGCCUUUGGAAUGUGAAUAACACCACAUCACGUAUUCCACCAAGAAGGCAAGUAAGACUGGUUCUCGAGCGACAAGGCAUCGCUGAGCAAAGAAAUCGACAGUCAGGAGCCUGGCCUGCACACAGAAGAAAUGAAUAAUUUCUCUAUCGGUUGGAAAUUGAGAAGCUUGGAGGAACUUGGAUUUAUUGGUGUGAAGAAAUGGUAAUUAUUUUGUGAAUUAAAAGAACACCCUAAACGUAGCUUCAGCAGACCGCUAGCGAAUCCUGCCACAUAAAUAAAGCAUGAUAUGUUCAUCUGGAAUGGAAGCCCUGGAAGCAUUUUAAUAGCUGUGCUUUUGAAUAGUUACAGCUGCUUCUCCUACAAACAGUGCAGGUGCCCAUGAGAUUAUCAACAUCAUUCCCAACUUUUUAUCAAUGAACUGAGGGCAUGGGAAGCUGGACUCUUGAAUGAGCUGAGUGCAGCCUUUAUUUUCCCAUUUAGUUAUUAUACAGAUUCUUCGGACACCUGGGUGGCUCAGUCAGUUAAGUGUCUGACUCUUGAUUUCAGCUCAGGUCAUGAUCCCAGGGUUGUGGAAUCAAGCCCCACAUCGGGCUCUGCACUGACAGCACGGAGCCUGCUUGGGAUUCUCUCUCUCCCUGUCUCCCUGCCCCUCCCCUGCUCAUGGUAUCUGUUUCUCUC